AGCGAACGCUGGCGGCAGGCCUAACACAUGCAAGUCGAACGAACCCUUCGGGGUUAGUGGCGGACGGGUGAGUAACACGUGGGAACGUGCCUUAGUUUCGGAAUAACUCAGGGAAACUUGUGCUAAUACCGAAUGUGCCCUUCGGGGGACAGAUUUCUCGCCUUUAGAGCGGCCCGCGUCUGAUUAGCUAGUUGGUGAGGUAAAGGCUCACCAAGGCUACGAUCAGUAGCUGGUCUGAGAGGAUGACCAGCCACAUUGGGACUGAGACACGGCCCAAACUCCUACGGGAGGCAGCAGUGGGGAAUCUUGCGCAAUGGGCGAAAGCCUGACGCAGCCAUGCCGCGUGGAUGAUGAAGGUCGUAGGAUUGUAAAAUCCUUUCACCGGUGAAGAUAAUGACUGUAGCCGGGGAAGAAGCCCCGGCUAACUUCGUGCCAGCCGCCGCCGUAAAAC
rnacentral:rRNA from 1 species